rnacentral:rRNA from 1 species
AACGAACGCUGGCGGCAGGCUUAACACAUGCAAGUCGAACGCCCCGCAAGGGGAGUGGCAGACGGGUGAGUAACACGUGGGAACGUGCCCUUCGCUUCGGGAUAGCCUCGGGAAACUGGGAGUAAUACCGAAUACGCCGUAUUGGGAAAGAUUUAUCGGCGAAGGAUCGGCCCGCGUUGGAUUAGCUAGUUGGCGGUGUAAUGGACCACCAAGGCGACGAUCCUUAGCUGGUCUGAGAGGAUGAUCAGCCACACUGGGACUGAGACACGGCCCAGACUCCUACGGGAGGCAGCAGUGGGGAAUAUUGGACAAUGGGCGGAAAGCCUGAUCCAGCAAUGCCGCGUGAGUGAUGAAGGCCUUAGGGUUGUAAAGCUCUUUUACCCGGGAUGAUAAUGACAGUACCGGGAGAAUAAGCCCCGGCUAACUCCGUGCCAGCAGCCGCGGUAAU